AUUGAACGCUGGCGGCAUGCCUUACACAUGCAAGUCGAACGGUAACAGGUCUUCGGAUGCUGACGAGUGGCGAACGGGUGAGUAAUACAUCGGAACGUGCCUAGUAGUGGGGGAUAACUACUCGAAAGAGUGGCUAAUACCGCAUGAGAUCUACGGAUGAAAGCAGGGGAUCGCAAGACCUUGUGCUACUAGAGCGGCCGAUGGCAGAUUAGGUAGUUGGUGGGAUAAAAGCUUACCAAGCCGACGAUCUGUAGCUGGUCUGAGAGGACGAUCGGCCACACUGGGACUGAGACACGGCCCAGACUCCUACGGGAGGCAGCAGCGGGGAAUUUUGGACAAUGGGCGCAAGCCUGAUCCAGCAAUGCCGCGUGCAGGAUGAAGGCCUUCGGGUUGUAAACUGCUUUUGUACGGAACGAAAAGCCCCGGGUUAAUACCCUGGGGUCAUGACGGUACCGUAAGAAUAAGCACCGGCUAACUACGUGCCAGCAGCCGCGGUAAAAC
rnacentral:rRNA from 1 species